rnacentral:rRNA from 1 species
GUGCCAGCCGCCGCGGUAAUACCGGCAGCUCAAGUGAUGUCCCAUAUUAUUAGGCCUAAAGCGUCCGUAGCUGGCCGACCAAGUCUCCCGGGAAAUCCACCCGCCCAACGGGUGGGCGUCCGGUAGAAACUGGCCGGCUUGGAACCGGAAGACUCAGAGAGUACGUCCGGGGUAGGAGUGAAAUCCCGUAAUCCCGGACGGACUACCGAUGGCGAAAGCACUCUGAGAAGACGGCUUCGACAGUGAGGGACGAAAGCUCGAGUCUCAAACCGGAUUAGAUACCCCGUAUCC